rnacentral:rRNA from 1 species
AACGAACGCUGGCGGCGUGCCUAACACAUGCAAGUCGAACGGGGAUAAGUAGCUUGCCAUUUAUUCUAGUGGCGCACGGGUGAGUAACGCGUAGAUAAUCUGCCUUAGACUCUGGGAUAACAUCUCGAAAGGGGUGCUAAUACCGGAUAAGCCCACGGGGACGUGAGUUCUUGCGGGAAAAGGGGGCCUCCGCAUAUGCUCUUGAUCUAAGAUGAGUCUGCGUACCAUUAGCUUGUUGGUAGGGUAAUGGCCUACCAAGGCGACGAUGGUCAGCUGGUCUGAGAGGAUGAUCAGCCACACUGGGACUGAGACACGGCCCAGACUCCUACGGGAGGCAGCAGUGGGGAAUUUUGCGCAAUGGGGGAAACCCUGACGCAGCAACGCCGCGUGAGUGAUGAAGGCUUUCGGGUCGUAAAGCUCUGUCUAGAGGGAAGAAGUGAUUAGUGGUUAAUACCCAUUAUUCUUGACGGUACCUCUGAAGGAAGCACCGGCUAACUCCGUGCCAGCAGCCGCAGUAA